GGGGGAGUGAGGAGGGGGCCUGGACGGGGCUGGAGCGAUGGGGAAGAGAGUGCGGUGGGGUCCCUUGGUUCCCGUCCCCAGGAAGCCGGCGAGAUGGAACUGGCAUCUAUCGGGCCCUGACCGUGCUGGGGGCUGCACCGGCUCGGAAAGAAACCGAUCAGUGCAGGCACCAGUGCUUGACGGUCAGCUUGGGCCUGGGAUCCUGACCCUGCACCCGGGCUCUGAGAGGGAGAACUGUGGCGUUUGCUCAGCCAAGCCCGGACAGCUUAGCCGCCAGCCCCCUCCACCUUCCCGCAGCCCUUCUCUUCCCCAGAGGUCAGAAGCCAGGCAGGAAGACCUAAGAGGGGCUAUCUGUUGAGGCCCCAGGGAGGGAGGAAGCCUGUCCCUGCCCUGAGGGCCUGACCCCAGGCUAGGUCUCAAGAGAGGCUGGAAGCCAGAGGCCUGAGGCCAGUCCCGUUGCUGACGCGGAUGUGGUCCAGCUGGGGCCCUGACAGGUGUGGCCACUGGACCCCGGGCCACGGGCCUUCCUGCUCCCGCCACUCCUCCCACCGCCUGAACUUGUGCUGAGAUCCUGCACCCAACCAGCUGAUGCCUGAGCGGGAAAGGAUUCUAGGGCCAGAUCCGUGCUGGCCUGGCCAAGACUCUUGGAACCACCCUGCUGUCCCGGGCUGUCUCUGCUGGAGCCUCUUUGCUCCCGCCCCCUUUGCAAGUGUCUGACCCGCAUCCCACUACUCCCGCUCCUCGUCCCUCUGCCUCUCCAAGAGCUGUGCUCCCACGGCCUUCCCUCUGGCCUCACAGCCACCACCACGUCCCCCCUCCUCACGUCCAGGUCAGCCCUCAAGGGAAUCUGAACUCCUCCACGACCAGAAGCCACACAGAACUAGCUCAAAGGUCCCCUUCCCAGGACACCGACUCCCAGAGGACCCAGACCCAGACCUUUCAGCCCAAGGAAUGGGAUGAUGUCAGGGGUUCCAGGUGGAGACGAGGACUCCCAGGCCCAGACUCAUGCCUUGCCCAGCCCCAGGAGACGGAGUUUCAGAAGCAUACCUGGGACAAGUCUAAAAAUCAGAUGGGGACUUUAUUGUGAUGGUGGCAGGUCCACCAGCAGAUGCAAAUGUGGGGUGCUGAGAGUGGCAACACAGGCCACCCCAAACCAA
rnacentral:lncRNA from 1 species